rnacentral:rRNA from 1 species
UACGGGGGGUGCGAGCGUUGUCCGGAAUCACUGGGCGUAAAGGGCGCGUAGGUGGCCCGGUCAGUUCGUGGUGAAAGCGCGGGGCUCAACCCUGCGUCGGCCAUGAAUACUGCCGCGGCUGGAGCACUGUAGAGGCAGGCGGAAUUCCGGGUGUAGCGGUGGAAUGCGUAGAGAUCCGGAAGAACACCAGUGGCGAAGGCGACACGCUGGGCCAUACCUGACGCUAAAGCGCGACAGCAUGGGGAGCAAACGGG